GGUUCCAUGGUGUAAAGGUAGGCACUCCGGACUCUGAAUCUGGCGAUCCGAGUUCAAGUUUCGGUGGAGCCU
rnacentral:tRNA from 1 species